CCAAGGAGUCUAACAUGUGCGCGAGUCACUCGGUCUUGAUUAGGCCAGAGAGGCGCAAUGAAAGUAAAGCUUGUUAAGUUACGAUCUCCAUGCCAGUUAUCCUUCAUUGGGUAACGGUGGAGCGCAGUAACAGCCCGCUAAUUCCGCUUAUUGACGGUCUAGCGGAGUUAUAGCGUACACGUUGGUACCCGAAAGAUGGUGAACUAUGCCUGGGCAAGACGAAGCCAGAGGAAACUCUGGUGGAGGUCUGUAGCGAUUCUGACGUGCAAAUCGAUCGUCAGACCUGGGUAUAGGGGCGAAAGACUAAUCGAACCAUC
rnacentral:rRNA from 9 species